rnacentral:tRNA from 1 species
GGGGUGUUCGUCUAGUGGUCAGGACAUUCGUCUUUCCAACGAAAAGCAGGGGUUCGACUCCCCUACACCCUACCA